rnacentral:rRNA from 1 species
UACGGAGGAUGCGAGCGUUAUCCGGAAUUAUUGGGUUUAAAGGGUGCGUAGGCGGAUUGAUAAGUCAGUGGUGAAAUUUUGCAGCUUAACUGUAACAGUGCCGUUGAUACUGGGGAGCUAGGAUUUGGUUGCUGUGGGUGGAAUGUGUGGUGUAGCGGUGAAAUGCUUAGAGAUCACACAGAAUAUCGAUUGCGAAGGCAGCUCACAAAGCCAAGAUUGACGCUGAGGCACGAAAGCGUGGGGAGCAAACA